rnacentral:rRNA from 1 species
UGGUGGGAUAACAGCGCACCAAGGCAUCGAUGGGUAGCCGAGCUGAGAGGUUGAUCGGCCACACUGGGACUGAGACACGGCCCAGACACCUACGGGUGGCAGCAGUAGGGAAUCUUGGACAAUGGGCGAAAGCCUGAUCCAGCCAUGCCGCGUGAGUGAUGAAGGCCUUCGGGUUGUAAAGCUCUUUUCUGAGGGAGGAAAUGCAGAGUGAGGAAAUGCGCUUUGUUUGACGGUACCUCAGGAAUAAGGAACGGCUAACUCCGUGCCAGCAGCCGCGGUAAUACGGAGGUUCCAAGCGUUGUUCGGAAUUACUGGGCGUAAAGGGGGCGCAGGCGGACAGGUCAGUGGAAAGUGGAAGCCCGGGGCUCAACCUCGGAAGGCCUUUCCAUACUGCCUGUCUUGAGUUCGUGAGAGGAGAGUGGAAUUCAGGGUGUAGCGGUGAAAUGCUUAGAUAUCCUGAGGAACACCAGUGGCGAAAGCGACUCUCAGGCACGAAACUGACGCUGAGGCCCGAAAGCGUGGGUAGCGAACGGGAUUAGAU